AACGAACGCUGGCGGCAUGCCUAACACAUGCAAGUCGAACGAGACCUUCGGGUCUAGUGGCGCACGGGUGCGUAACGCGUGGGAACCUGCCCUUAGGUUCGGAAUAACUCCCCGAAAGGGGUGUUAAUACCGGAUAAUGUCUUCGGACCAAAGAUUUAUCGCCUUUGGAUGGGCCCGCGUUGGAUUAGCUAGUUGGUAGGGUAAAAGCCUACCAAGGCGACGAUCCAUAGCUGGUCUGAGAGGAAGAUCAGCCACACUGGGACUGAGACACGGCCCAGACUCCUACGGGAGGCAGCAGUGGGGAAUAUUGGACAAUGGGCGAAAGCCUGAUCCAGCAAUGCCGCGUGAGUGAUGAAGGCCUUAGGGUUGUAAAGCUCUUUUACCCGGGAUGAUAAUGACAGUACCGGGAGAAUAAGCUCCGGCUAACUCCGUG
rnacentral:rRNA from 1 species